rnacentral:lncRNA from 10 species
AGGAAGACAGCUGGCCCAGUGACCCUCAGAAGUGGAUUGCAGAAGUGGGGGUACCUCCCAGGUUCUCCAGGUUUGUCUUCAGAGUGUUGUAGGCGGCCGUUCGGGACUUCAGGUCCAUCUCGAUCUGCGCCAGUUGCUGUUUUGGGAAAGCAAAAGCUCCAGGUGACCCUGAGCAUUGAAGGAGUUGGCUGAACUUUUUGAAAUGGCCACAACAGCUCAUGGUGCUUUCAAGAAAAAUAACUGCCCUGCCCAUUUGCUGGGAUGGCUUCUGUUUACCAGCAUUUGGCCCUUCCAGGGAGCCCCUGUGUGGCACCCAGGCGCCAAGCCAUGAUGGAUUUUCUAGGAUGACUCAGUGAGCCCAACCUUUCCUGAUUUCAAGCCCAUCCUGAACGGUCGGGACAUCCCACGCCCACACCUACCCUCUCAGGCUCUGCUGGAGGGCAGCUCAGGCUGACCCCCAAUCGUUGCUUCCAGGGGUACCCGACAUGGCCUGGCCCUCUCAAAUGCCCAUGUCUCCUGGCUCGGCUGUGCCGAUCUCCCUCUCAUGGGUUGGCAGGGGCAGGGAGGUGCAGUGGACAGAAACAAGACAGGCCUGGGCUCAAGCCACGCCCUCCUGCUUUCUGGCCGACUGGCUCAGGUUUCCCCAUUUGUUCCACAGCGGGGAUAAUGCCAGUGCUGAGAGCCGACUGUGCCAGGCUCCUUCACAUUCCCUCCUCGCAGCCCCACGUCGUGACACCCCACCAGCUUUGACAACCAGCCACGGCAGGAGCAUUUACACCACGGUCAUCCACAAAUGCUACAGGCCAGCACACGGCUGCUGACGGGAGAAUCUCAAGAGUCAACAGAUGAAGAAAAUGGGUGCUCCAUAGAAUGCCAACAGCUUUAGUCUAAAUAUACACAUUUUUAUACAUGGAAGAAUCCAUUGUCAACUUUUAAACAUUGGUUACCUUUUGGGAGAAUAAAGGGAAUGGGGGCGAUGAUCACAGCUCGGAUGAUAUUAUUAUUUUAAAGAUAAAAUCAUAAAAUAAUUUUAAAGAUAAAAUAAAUAUAAUUAAAAUGAUAAA